UCCACGGAGCUUGUAUUUACAAGCUCGGAGCAACCGCGGAGCCGCACGGAGGGAGCCGUCUCCGCAAACUCGCUCUGCAUUCCCUGCAGGACUUUGCUGCCGCUGGGGACGGUCAGGAAAACAGCGCGUCCUCCUAGCGCGGCCUUUUCAUGCUUCAAAAAUAAACAGAGGAUAACUCGGGAGGAAGGUUUUAGCUGGAGAGCGUGUCGCAGUGCCUGUGUCUUGUCUCCAGGGCUGUGAUGUGUGUUGACUGAAGCGCGAACUGCAAUGACCCUGGAAACAGAGGGGGAAUUCUUAUAAAUCACAAAGGAAAAUAAAUAACUUCACCCAUGGAGGGAAAUAGACAGCUUGAGAAAAGGGACUUUGGAAAAAGGCUGUCUCUAGACAGCAGUCUUGUGGAAUACAUGGACUCCAAUAAAUACAUUGAGCAUCUCCUAACUCAACUCGAGGAGAAACACAGAAGUCUCUGGAGGUGAGUUAAGCCCAUGUCCUCAACUUAUAGCAGCCUCUAUAGCUUUGAUCUUGAUCCUGGAGGCAGGGAAUUGGAAAAUGGUUUCUUGUUCCAUUUGGUGCCAAAAGCAUCAUUGGGGACAAAUAUCACCAGAGGCAACCUAGAAAAUUCUAUUUCUCUAACUAAAGUAAAGCAGCAGAGCCAAAAGUUGUCUUUGAGUCAAGGACCUGCUCAGAGCUGGAAGGAUGGUAGAAAUUGGACAGAUAUUACUCAAGGUCAAUUAAUUAAUUUGUUUAAGGCCAUCUGGCAACCUUAUAUUGGAGCCCAAAGUUUCUGAUACUUGCUUGCUUAAAGAUUAUUUAGGGUUUUCUAUAAUUAAAAGAUAGGAUGCUGCUUAAGAUUCCUGCUUCUCCUUGUAUUAAAAGGGAACAUUUUGAGAAUGCUGUUGUAUAGAUCCCAAUGUUUUUGUUAUAAAUGGUAGUAAGGAAAGGUAUGUGACAAUAUUUAUGUAGGUAACUUGGAAAGUGAUCAGUAUCAUAGAAGUCGUAUUUUCAAUUCAUUCAUUCCCUGGGGCCUCUUGGGAAUUGAGACUGGCUAAGGAUGUUUGUGAUAUUAUUAUCUCGACUUUUGGGAUCCAUUCAGUUAUGCUCUUCACAGGUGCUGCUAUGGAAUUUGAAUUCCGUUUUCUAAAUUCCUAUAGCUCUUGUUGUCUGGAAUAAACACACUAGUGCUCAUUUGUAUGAUGCCUCACAUUGCCAUGGAAUUGUUUCACAUAAUUAGCUUUGUCUCCCAAUGGUCAGUAUUCCCCUAACGUCCUCUACUUCUUAUCUCCUCGAGGCAGGAAGCAGAGUGUUCUCUCUGUUCACAGAGAUGGCAGGUAAAUAUUUGCUAACCCUGUGGCUCUUUUAUCCCACCUCAGCCAAAUCCAUCAUCAUUGGUCUCUCUACAUCAGGCUAUGCUGCCCCUUCUCUAUGCAUCUUGUAACAAAUCCCAAUAACCUUGGCAUUCUUCUUCCUGAAGAAUUCUAGUUUUUGGGUAAAGUGCCUGACACUUCCAUUUGUCCUGCUCAUAUAUUAGUUUUCCUACUAAAGAACAGAUCUAUGGUUAUAGUGAAAGUAUUCUAUUUCUAUACACGAAAAUUGCUGGCAGGAUACAACAGAAGUGUAUAAUCUUUAAGUUGGCUUGCCACUAACAGGCAUGCCAGUUA